rnacentral:rRNA from 2 species
ACGGGGACCCGCACAAGCGUGAUGAUGUGGUUUAAUUCGAUGCAACGCGAAGAACCUUUACCAGGGCCUGACAUCCCUCUGACCGGCGUGUAACGGCGCCUUCCCUUCGGGGCAGAGGAGACAGGUGGUGCAUGGUUGUCGUCAGCUCGUGUCGUGAGAUGUUGGGUUAAGUCCCGCAACGAGCGCAACCCUUGUCAUUAGUUGCCAGCAGGUAAAGCUGGGCACUCUAGUGAGACUGCCGGGGACAACUCGGAGGAAGGUGGGAUGACGUCAAAUCAUCAUGCCCCUUAUGUUCUGGGCUACACACGUGCUACAAUGGCCGGUACAGAGAGACGCAAUGUCGUGAGGCGGAGCAAAACUCCAAAACCGGUCCCAGUUCGGAUUGCAGGCUGCAACUCGCCUGCAUGAAGUCGGAGUUGCUAGUAAUCGCGAAUCAGCAUGACGCGGUGAAUACGUUCCCGGGCCUU